ensembl:lncRNA
UGUAUGUUUGAAUGUAUGUGUGUGAGUGUGUGCGUUUGUGUAUAAGUGUAUGCGUAUCAUCUGGGUGUGGGUGGUGGUUGGGUUCCCUACUGGAGAGGAAGGCAUUGUGGUGGACUUCCCUGGAUCCACUUGGCCGGUACCGACCCACUUUCCUCUUCUCUAUUUAUGGGUCCCUGUGGAAGAGGGCCCUCAGUCUGCCUGGCCGUCGCCCUACCCUCACCCAGGGACCUCCUGGUGCACCAGGGAGACACCAGACCUCUCAGAAGAUGUAGUCUUUUUCUCACUUUAUCUUUACGUCACUCACACACAGACACAGACACACGAAAACACACACAGCUGCAAACAGAAGGUGUCACUCAGAAGGGAGAGUUCACCCACUGUUGAUCGACGUUUCAACUGAACAGAAGAAAGCCGCGUGGAGGAUUCUGUGCAGUGAACGACAUAGUAAUAAGAAAGAAUUUGAACGGUAACUGAAAAGUACAUGGACAUUUGUAUUGUCAGUUAACAUGACGUGAAUGUACCAAGUCAAACAAAGACAUAAAAUGGUGCUAGUGUCAUAAGGUCAAACGUCUCUCUAUUCAAUGAAAAUGACCGACAGCCUAUCGCUUAAAGUUUCUGCUUAGUCACGUACACACAUUACAUUACACACAUAAGGCUACUCUGUGAACCUAUGUACAAACUGAAAAUAAAACCAAACCAUGAGAUCAUGUCCUCUUGUGUGAACAUCAUUCAUCCUGUCGUUUGCGGAAACAAAUGCAACGUCAAAUACCUUUAUAUUAUAUAUUUAGGUAUUGGAACUGGUAUGUUACAGUGACAUACAAUUGUCAACGUCACACACAC